AAUAGAUACCCCGGUAGUCCACGCCGUAAACGAUGAAUGCCAGUCGUCGGGUAGCAUGCUAUUCGGUGACACACCUAACGGAUUAAGCAUUCCGCCUGGGGAGUACGGUCGCAAGAUUAAAACUCAAAGGAAUUGACGGGGGCCCGGCACAGGCGGUGGAGCAUGUGGUUUAAUUCGAAGCAACGCGCAGAACCUUACCAACCCUUGACAUCCCUGGACAGCCCGAGAGAUCGGGUCUUCACUUCGGUGACCAGGAGACAGGUGCUGCAUGGCUGUCGUCAGCUCGUGUCGUGAGAUGUUCGGUUAAGUCCGGCAACGAGCGCAACCCACACUUUCAGUUGCCAGCAUUCAGUUGGGCACUCUGGAAGAACUGCCGAUGAUAAGUCGGAGGAAGGUGUGGAUGACGUCAAGUCCUCAUGGCCCUUACGGGUUGGGCUACACACGUGCUACAAUGGUGGUGACAGUGGGUUAAUCCCCAAAAGCCAUCUCAGUUCGGAUUGGGGUCUGCAACUCGACCCAUGAAGUUGG
rnacentral:rRNA from 1 species